GAGCUGUGCCGCUGCCGCCGUGACAGGCUCUGUGUUCACAGGGGUGGCCGGGCGGCACCUGAGGGGGCAGCCAGGAGAGCUCCAGCUCCUCACUGAGGCCCUUCAAGCCCUGAAGAAAGAUGUCAGCCCUUCCCAGAAAAACAUAGUUGUUAAACAGAUAUUCAGUUGGAGAGUUACAGAACUGGCACAGAAGAACCAGUGUUUGUUGAAGACCUGCAAAUGCCAUGGAAGAUGAGAGUGCCUUGAGACCAGAAGAGACCAGCUGGAGCUCCAGGCACCACUGAUGAUUGGCACAGCUGAGCCACUUGCAUGUCUUCAGCCCUCUCCCUGCUUAUAGAUAGCUCCCUCCCUCCAGCCCUCAGACUCUGCCCAUCCCUUCUCUUUCCCUCCAUUCUCCCUCCCUGUUCACGGCUCUUUCCCUCUAGUCCUCAGAUCUUGCCCUUCCCCUUUUUCCCCACCCAGCUCAUUCCUUUGCUUUGCCUUCUAUUAAUAAACAGUUUGGCUUCUUCA